rnacentral:rRNA from 1 species
AUGGCGACCACCAUCUCUCUCCUCUCCCUCGCCCCGCUCCGACUCACCCACCGCUGCCUCCUCUCCCUCACCCCCGGCAGGCCUCACGUUUCCAUACGCUCGCCUCGAAGGACGCAGCCGCCUCAACCGUCUCCGGGCCCGGAGUGGGCGCGAGGAGUAGGCUGCUCUUGGUGCUCGACCGGGCGCUCAUGGACGAGGAGCAAGACUGCCGCGAGUGCGCCCAGGUGCAGCACAAGGGCAUCGAGGCGGACAUCCUGCUGCUUUCUCCACCCCCUCGCCGUCGCCUCUCCGGAACUUCCUCUAGCCUGGGGACAUCCUGCUGUUGUCUCCACCCCGUCCAGUCUUCGUCCGGCCUUCUUAUCUCCUCCCUCUCUUUGA